GGCUAACUCGGGGCGAGGGGCGGCGGUAAGACGGAGGGGGGUAGGGUUAUUGGGAAUGUGUGGGCGUAAAGGGCGCGUAGGGGGCUUCAUAAGUCAAAGGUGAAAUCCCUCGGCUCAACGGAGGAACUGCCGUUGAAACUGUGGAGCUUGAGGCCGGGAGGGGGUAGCGGAAUUCCCAGUGUAGCGGUGAAAUGCGUAGAUAUUGGGAGGAACACCAGUGGCGAAGGCGGCUACCUGGACCGGAACUGACGCUGAUGCGCGAAAGCGUGGGUAGCAAACAGGAUUAGAUACCCUGGAGUC
rnacentral:rRNA from 1 species